UCCCACGUGGUCUAACGGGUAGGAUAUCUGGCUUUCAUCCAGAAGGCCCGUGUUCGAUUCCCGGCGUGGACA
rnacentral:tRNA from 1 species